rnacentral:rRNA from 11 species
GACUCUCGGCAACGGAUAUCUUCGCUCACGCAUCGAUGAAGAACGUAGCAAAAUGCGAUACUUGGUGUGAAUUGCAAGACCCGUGAACCAUCGAGUUUUUGACGCAAAGUUGCGCCCCGAAGCCAUUCUUGAGGGCACGUCUGCCUGGGCGUCA